rnacentral:rRNA from 1 species
CCUACGGGAGGCAGCAGUGGGGAAUAUUGGACAAUGGGGGGAACCCUGAUCCAGCGACGCCGCGUGAGUGAAGAAGUAUUUCGGUAUGUAAAGCUCUAUCAGCAGGGAAGAAAAUGACGGUACCUGACUAAGAAGCCCCGGCUAACUACGUGCCAGCAGCCGCGGUAAUACGUAGGGGGCAAGCGUUAUCCGGAUUUACUGGGUGUAAAGGGAGCGUAGACGGUGCAGCAAGUCUGAUGUGAAAGGUCGGGGCCCAACCCCGGGAGUGGAUUGGAAACUGGUGAAACUGGCAGUCUUGAGUGGGCGAGAGGUAUGCGGAAUGCGUGGUGGAGCGGUGAAAUGCAUAGAUAUCACGAAGAACUCCGAUUGCGAAGGCAGCAUACCGGCGCCCGACUGACGCUGAGGCACGAAAGCGUGGGUAUCGAACAGGAUUAGAUACCCGAGUAGUC